rnacentral:misc_RNA from 1 species
CUAAUAAAGAGAUAACCUCUGAACUUAAAAAGAGGGUGUAUCUCAUUGAUCUCUGUUUCACGCGUGUGUGUCGAAUGGUAGUGUUGUAUCGGCACGCAUCGUAUUAGAGUGUCAAAUUAACUGCCUCCAAUAAGAAUCGAACUUCCAACGAAAUUCGCCAGUGGCCCAAUUGCUUAAGCCAUCGGCUCAGAAACAGCAGGAGAUCCCGGGUUCGAAUCUCAGUUUGAAAAAUUGAUUCACAGUCGCAGAUUCCUCGUCUUCUUAAAUAAAUUAAUUAUACACAUUGAAAGAAAUGUUACACGUGAAGAGAAUGAUAACCCGUUACUGUCUUGCAGUAAUGCUUUACACAUAAUUGUGAAAGGUAAAGAAGAGGAAUCCGUGAGUUACGGAUUCGAAUCCCAAGUGAGACUCGGGCUCUACUGAAAAUCCUUGGUGCAUGUCUUUUGCUCCUAGAAUAUUUUUUUUUUAAAGCCAGGAUGUUUUAUAUUUACGACUCUUAUUAAUAAGUUGUAUGGUUUUUUUUUUCUUUUGUAGGGCCUAAUUUAUGAACAAAAUAAGAAAAAUAAAUGUUAUCAUUGAAUUGAUUUGAAUUAACCAACUGGGUUAAUAAUUCGAUUCCGAUUACAGGUAACUGAUUUUCGCACUCUUUUCCACAUGCGUAGAACAAGCUCUCGACAGCGAAUAACAGAGAUCAAAUGGAUAAUCCCUUCUUUUAAAUGAUGUUUUAUGUCCUUAUAAUUGUUAAGAUGUGUAAUUUUUAUAUAGUAAUGAUGUGAUGUCAACAUGACAAUAUUUAUUUAGUCAUGUCACAUGUUUUUGAAAUAAAUAAAAUAUUAUAAGACCUUACAAGAUAGUGGCACUGACCAUUUUAUACACACCAUACCAAUCAGCGACGACCGAGUUACAGUAGGUUUCAGAAUAAAAAAAAAUAUCUAGAUGCCAAUAAGAUCAUGAAAAGAAUGAACCUUUUUGCUAAGCCCCGCCCAUUGGAUACUGUUGCUAAGGUCCCGUUACGUAAAGACGUGCUUUUUGGGACGGCGUAUUCCUGGCACUUUUCUGAUUGGUCAGUGGUUAAGGUUUGAUUUACACUCCGAAAAGCUCCAUUCACAGAUCUGAAUUUCACAGUUUUCAGAUUAUUUUUGAUUACACUAUCCGUAGUCAAUUCCACCGAGACAGUACUGCUGAAACAUUAUUCAAAACAUUAAUGUUUUCAAGAUAACGGAAGGACAUGACCACAAAGAGGAAAACCGUUGACAUACUUUCAACCGCACAUCAUGAUCAAUUUAUCUACCGAGGAAAUACCGCAUCUCCUGUGUACGAGGUCUUAAUUAUAAGGAUUGUUUUCGAAUGCAGCAAUCUUGCUGUCAGUUCACCGUUAUAAGCUACAGUCUCAAAAACCGAUUCAACACUGUUGAUCGUCACACGUUCAGCGGAAACCAAAUAACCACACAACGAAGAAAACUUAGUUACGAUUAGUGCAUUCCAAAGAUUUGUCUGCCCAGAAGUGAAUGGAAUAUUGACGCCAUUCUGUCGAGAGCUUACGAAAAUAACCCAGAGAGAUGUCGACCGAGCAUAUUCAUUUCCGGACGUGUACGACGACUUGUUGGAAUGGAUGAGGGACAACGGGUUAAAGCUUAAACCAGAACGGCAGAACUUUACUUUCGUCACUGAUGGUAUCUUCGACUGCAACCAGUACAUACGAAAUCAGUGCAAGCUCUCCAAGCUCAAGUUUCCAAAAUGGGCGAAAAGUUUCAGUAACAUCAAAAAACAUUUCAACUAUGUUCUACCGCAUAUGAAGAGGACCGAUAGGAGAUCAAAUAGCAUCACGGACAUGAUGGAAAAACUUAAGAUUCCAAUGGAUGGUCAGUUGCACCGGGCUAUUGAUGACGCGAAGCAGGUGGUGAAGAUAAUGAAAGGUCUUCGAGAACUCCGACCUAAUUUCGAAUUUACAGACAAUGAAACAAUUAAGCCUUAUUGGAGUAUGAGAUUCUUCGACUAAACGCCUAUGCCUAAUGAAUCACAUUUCCACUUCAAUCAUUAUUACUGAACGAAUAUUAGCCUGAAUUGUUGGAAAUUCGAUUCUAAGCUUUUUAUGGUUAUAAAAAAGAUAUAGUUUGACAUUUAGUUUAAUUGGACUUUUUAACGUAUAGUACAGAGCCCCUAUGAGAUGUUUUCGAUGUAACGAAAUAAUUUCGUUCCCUCAACAUAAUAUUUUAUAAUAAUAACGAAAUAUUAUCAACGGAAUGGUUAUUAUUGUUUUAAACCACUGUUACGUGCCGUAUGUAAUGUAUCGGGUGCUCUGAAGUGUGACGAAACGUUCUGGGGAUGUAAACAGACGAUGGACCCGGGCUGUCUAAAAGACAUUAUUAAAUUACCCAAAAUCUCGUUGUUUCACUCCUUACCUUCCCUAGCUUUUACAUUUUCCCUUUUACAGUAAUUUUAUCAGUCUGUAAAAAAGGGCAAUAUCCCGGCCGUUAUAAUCAGAAAUUGGGUAAUUAACCGUUUUCAUCGCUAAUUGAUCGGUAUUUUUACAAUCUACAUAGAUGUUUUACACUGUUACUGUAAGGUAUAUGGAAUGAAACGGAUUGGUAUAAUCAUUUCGGUAACGUCUCACUAUGAACCUUUCCGAUAAACCGCGUCCCCUGGAUAUGGUUACUAAGGUCCCCACAAAGUGACAGUGUAAAAACAUAUGCAAAAAAAGUGCGUUUAUAUCACUGAUCUUUAUUGAGCUGCAUUGCUAAUCGGCCAAAAAUUGUACAAAAAAGUGAAGUCACUGACGCCAUAUGCAACAACACAAGUGAUACCAGUCCAGACCAGUUGUUUUUUUCUUUUUCUUUUUAAAUUAUUGUUUAAAAUAUCUAUCCUCUAAACACUCAACGCUCAAGCAAUGUCGUGCUGUGUUUUAGUCAAUGAGAUCAGUGGUUUGUGGGAGAUGCAAUGAAUUAACAUUUUCUUUUUGUAGAAGAAUUAUUGAAGACUGGAAUUCCAUUUCUUGGAUAAAUCUAAUAACCUUUGUAUGCCGUUCAUUAUCAUAUUGUUAAAACUAAAUUUGAACAUUAAAAAAAUAAGGAAGCUAUCUGUGCUCCUUUUUCAAAGUAUUGAAAAGCCAUGCUCUUCAGUGUACUUUGCUAUCAUUUUUAAUGUCCGACUCACAGAAACUAUAGAUGCAAUGAAUUAAAUUUUCCUUUUUUAGAAGAAUUAUUGAAGACUGGAAUUUCAUUUCUAUUGAUGAUAGGAACCACAGAAACUCUACAUCAUUUUAAACUUUUAUUGAAACAAUAAUAUAAUCUUCCACGUUUCCCCGAUCUCUGUCCUGUUAUGUUUGCUUCAGUUUUACAAUGCAUAUUUAUUUAUUUAUUAUUGCCUUAGUAUUGUGAUUUAUCUUCUAAUUUCAUUCCUUAUAUUAUUUUCUCUUUUUCGCUUGGUAUAGUGUUUCUUUUUUUUUUUAGUUAGGCCUACCUCGUUAAUUUUAAAUAAAACUAAAAAAAAAAAAAAUUAUAAAAAUAUAAAAAUAUAUAAAAUAAGUUAACAUAAAUGACCUUGCACUUGCUAAAAACGUAUUUAAAUUGAUUAAAAGGUGCAGUAAACCGUAAAGAUAAUUUUGGAUCUGACAUUUCCAAAAAAAAAAAAAAAAUAAAUUAUA